AGCAGUCGCCACGGUAAAACGAAGGGUGCAAGCGUUACUCGGAAUUACUGGGCGUAAAGCGUGCGUAGGUGGUGGUUUAAGUCCGUUGUGAAAGCCCUGGGCUCAACCUGGGAAUUGCAGUGGAUACUGGGUCACUAGAGUGUGGUAGAGGAUAGUGGAAUUUCCGGUGUAGCAGUGAAAUGCGUAGAGAUCGGAAGGAACAUCUGUGGCGAAGGCGACUAUCUGGGCCAACACUGACACUGAGGCACGAAAGCGUGGGGAGCAAACAGGAUUAGAUACCCCCGUAGUCCCUGUCUCUUAUAC
rnacentral:rRNA from 1 species